CUGCAGAAUUUGGUAAUGUUGGCCUAUCACAGUAAAUACUCUCUUAAACAUGUUUUUCUUAUUUCCAGUCAUCUUGGCAGCUUGGAAGAAAGGAGUCGUUGCUGCAUUGGUCCUGAUAACCAUUGCAGGAGCGGGAGCACUUGCCUUAUGGUGGUUUUUGCGUAAGAAGAAAAAGGCUAAAGGACCAUCCAUGGAGAUGUCUGGUUCAGCCUUGGCUGCAAACUUGACAAGUGAAAAACUGGCAAGACAGCCCAAUGAUGGAGACUAUUAUUCAGGACCUGACCUUGAGAGUGCUGAGGUGGAGUACACUGAAGUUGAAGUAUCAACGCUUGAUCCUCACAGAGAUUCUAUGGAAAACAGGCAUUCUAGAAUAUCAGGGCAUCCUGAUGCUACUUAGAACAGUCAUCUCAAAGAUCAGCUGGGAGAAGAAAACAAGCCAAGAUGGAAGAUGUUGCAAAUGUUUCAAAGGCUCUGCAGCAGUUAUUUAUGAGUUUGCCAGACUCUUCUUUUCAAAGUUUAUUUCCUUAGCGGGAACAAUAGAGAUGUUCCUAAAGCAUUUAAUGGAAAAAAUUGAGAAUAAAAAUUCUCAUAGGAAAGUGGCUCUAGAAACCACUGACCCAGGUUCUCAUUUUUAUUUUCUCCUGCUAAUGCAAUUUUGCCUUUUUUUUUGCCUCCAAUUCAUCAUUCUCUGAGGAAACAAAAGGGGAAGUUAGAGCUGAGGAAGCACAUUUCUACAGUGCAGUGACUACUGGGAUGCCAGUAGGACAUAGAAAUAUCUAAGCUUGCUUUGAACUUGCUACCUUGGUUAUCAGUGACACUUCUGUGGCAGAGCAGAGCUCAGCACAGCUUGGCCAGCCAUGGAUGUACUUUCUGAUCCUGCAGCUUGUGCUGAACUCCCUGUGCUGCAGCAGCUGGACUGCUACCAGGCUUGGAGCCAGCUCACUUAUAGCCCUGGGGAUGCUUCACUGCAGGGAGGGCCUGACAGAAGAGAGAACUCUGGGUGCUCGAAAAACUUAAAUAACUGUUGGGAGAUUCAGACUUUACCAAGUGCUUCUGUCAGGAGGGGCACAAAUAGUCUUUAUUCUUUGCUAAACUGCUUUUCCCCUUUAAAAGGUCUGGUGCUUGUUGGUUAGUUUGGUGUGAUGGUUCUUCAAGAAAUGAUUGUCCAUCACAGUUGUUUUGGAUGAUUCUAUGAUAGGUCUUCAGGGAGUGGAUAUACUGCACCCAGGUCAGUGAGUUUAUACCUGAAAAUCCUGUUAUGUAUAAUCCUUAUUCCUUUGAUUUUAGGAGCGAUCUGAAGUCAUACUUGUGCCCAGUUUCUCCAGUAUGGAACUCCAUACCUAACCUUUUUCUGUAUAGCAUGAUAAACCACUAACAUGGAUCCAGUCUGGACCUGGAUCUAAUCUCUGCAGCCCAUGUUUAUCUCAGCUGCAUUAGUUUAAAAAAAGAACAUAAAACAAACCAGAAAAAAUGCUGUCCCUAGCCCCGUAACCAGCUGGCCUUUGGCACUGCAAUUGCUCUCCUUUUCUUACUGCAGAUUAAAUUACUACAAGAUCUGGGCCACAGGUAAGAAAGUUCUCAUUUUCAUUAGAAAAUAGUGAAAGAGAGGCCGUGGAUUGUGUAUACAUACAUAGUUACUGCUAUAAGCAUUGCAUCAAGGGUGCAAAACAACCACAAAACACAAAAGGGUUU
ensembl:lncRNA